AACGCACCUUGCGCUCCUUGGUAUUCCGAGGAGCAUGCCUGUUUGAGCGUCGUGAAUCUCUCAACCCACAAAUUGUUUGUUCAGUUUGUGCGGCUUGGACUUGGAGGCAUUGCUGGCGAUGGUCAGCUCCUCUCAAAUGUAUUAGCUGGGCUUAGCUCGGUGGAACGGUUAGUGUGAUAAUUAUCUGCGCUGCUUACUACAUCGGAUCCCGCUUCUAAUCGUCCGCAAGGACAAUUCACUUUGAAUCUGACCUCAAAUCAGGUAGGACUACCCGCUGAACUUAA
rnacentral:misc_RNA from 1 species